UACGGGGGGGGCAAGCGUUGUUCGGAAUUACUGGGCGUAAAGGGUGCGUAGGCGGCUUUCUAAGUUGGAUGUGAAAACUAUGGGCUCAACCCAUAGCCUGCAUCCAAAACUGGAGAGCUUGGGUUCUGGAGGGGAAAGCGGAAUUCCUGGUGUAGCGGUGAAAUGCGUAGAUAUCAGGAGGAACACCGGUGGCGAAGGCGGCUUUCUGGACAGAUACCGACGCUGAGGCACGAAAGCUAGGGGAGCAAACGGG
rnacentral:rRNA from 1 species